rnacentral:rRNA from 1 species
AUUGAACGCUGGCGGCAGGCUUAACACAUGCAAGUCGAACGAGUGGCGGACGGGUGAGUAAUGCUUGGGAAUCUAGCUUAUGGAGGGGGAUAACUACGGGAAACUUUAGCUAAUACCGCGUACCAUAGGAUGAGCCCAAGUGGGCUUAGGUAGUUGGUGAGGUAAAGGCCCACCAAGCCAACGAUCUCUAGCUGGUCUGAGAGGAUGACCAGCCACACUGGGACUGAGACACGGCCCAGACUCCUCCGGGAGGCAGCAGUGGGGAAUAUUGCGCAAUGGGGGCAACCUGACGCAGCCAUGCCGCGUGAAUGAAGAAGGCCUUCGGGUUGUAAAGUUCUUUCGGUAGCGAGGCGUUAACUACAGAAGAAGCACCGGCUAACUCCGUGCCAGCAGCCGCGGUAAUAC